AGCAGCCGCGGUAAUUCCAGCUCCAAUAGCGUAUAUUAAAGUUGUUGCAGUUAAAAAGCUCGUAGUUGAAUUUCGGGAUCGAUACGUCGGUCGUGCCUUCGGUACGCACUGGCGUUUAUCGAUUUCUCCCUUCUGACGAACCAUGAUGUCAUUAAUUUGGUGUUAUGGGGAAUCAGGACUGUUACUUUGAAAAAUUAGAGUGUUUAAAGCAGGCAUUAGCUUGAAUACAUUAGCAUGGAAUAAUGAAAUAGGACGUUCGAACCUAUUUUGUGGUUUCUAGGAUCAACGUAAUGAUUAAUAGGGAUAGUUGGGGGCAUUAGUAUUCAAUUGUCAGAGGUGAAAUUCUUGGAUUUAUUGAAGACUAACUACUGCGAAAGCAUUUGCCAAGGAUGUUUUCAUUAAUCAAGAACGAAAGUUAGGGGAUCGAAGACGAUCAGAUACCGUCGUAGUCUUAACCAUAAACUAUGCCGACUAGGGAUCGGAUGAUGUUAAUUUUUAAUGUAACUUCA
rnacentral:rRNA from 1 species